rnacentral:ncRNA from 1 species
UUAAAGUUUGAUUCUUGCUUUAAAAUUUGUUUUAUCAUUGAUUUACAUGUAAAAUUAUUUGUGUUUAAAUUGAUCUAAAUGAAUUUUUUUUAUUCGCAGUAAUUAGUUCUAUCAUUUUUUUAUUUAAGUAUGAUGAUGUUAAUUGAUUAUUUGUUUUGAUAAAUUUUGUGCCAGCAAUCGCGGUUAAACAAUUAUUACAAAUUAAUUCAUUUUUCUUUUAGUUAUUUAUAAUUUUAUUUAAUUUUAAUUUUAAUUUAAUUGGGUGAAAUUUUUAUAUUUUAUAUAUUUUACUUUUUUUAUAAUUCUGAGAAAUUCUUUAUUAAACUAGGAUUAGAUACCCUAUUAUUUUGAGCUUAAAAAUUUUGAAGUUGAAGAUUAAUAGAUAUGACCUUUAAAUUUAAAGAAUUUGGCGGUAAUUAAGUCUUUUUAGAGGAACCUGUUCUGUAAUUGAUAAUCCACGAUAGAUUUUACUUUAUUUAUAUUUGUAUAUCUCUGUCAUUGAAUGUAUUAUUAGAUUAUUUUCUUUUAUCUUAUUAAGGAAAAAUGUUAGGUCAAGGUGCAGUUUAUAUUAAAGUAGAAAUGGGUUACUAUAUAUAUAUAUAUAUGAAUUUAAAUUUGGAACUAAAUUUUUUGAAAUUGGAUUUAAAAGUAAUUUUAAUUAGUUUAAUUAUUUUGAUUUUAGCUCUUAAUUAUGUACACAUCGCCCGUCGCUCUCAUAAAUUUGGGAUAAGUCGUAACAAAGUAGUUUUACCGGAAGGUGAAUCUAGAAAGAUUAA